CUGUUCCUUACAGCGGUAAGGGGAACGCUAGGCUGCCGCACUAAGGGGGCUGCCGCCGCCCAGCGGUCCAGGUGUGUGUUGCGCGCCUGCUGGGAGGGAGAGGGUGCUAGAUGUAUGCUCUUGAUGCUCUCUCCCCCCAGGGAAGCUUGGUAGAUGGACGUAUUAUUGACACCUCCCUGACCAGAGACCCUCUGGUUAUAGAACUUGGCCAAAAGCAGGUGAUUCCAGGUCUGGAGCAGAGUCUUCUCGACAUGUGUGUGGGAGAGAAGCGAAGGGCAAUCAUUCCUUCUCACUUGGCCUAUGGAAAACGGGGAUUUCCACCAUCUGUCCCAGGUAAUCUGACUAGGACUCUCUCUCAGGCCAUCAAAAUACCCAGUCCCUAAGAGCUAUAAGGAGCUAUAUACUUUGUUUGAUGCUUGAGAAGAUCCAGACCAAGUUUGUUUAGACAGAUAGGAGUGGCUGGGGCCUCCAUCUACAGGGCCACCUUUUUCCUCCUCAUAUCACCAACAGGGACUAAAGACAACCUGAUGAGGCCACCUGGCAUGACCUCCAGCAGCCAGUAACUUGUUAGGGAAGAGACCUGCUUGGGCCACAUGGGUCUGCUGCCUGUGCCACCACCUUUCCCAGAACACUGGACUUCUUUCCUGCCCUUUUCUACAACUCUACGCUGUGUCAGCUGUACAGCCACCCCCCACCCCUUCCUUUCAGCCUCCAUCAGGGAAGAGACAGUAAAAAUAAUCACAGUCAAGUGAUUCAAAACAAAACAAAAAGCAACUGUUAAAGCCAAGUCUGCCCCAUAACUUUAAAAGCCAUCAUUGGUCACUGCCGAUGUCUAUUUUUGAAGGGUUGAGAUGGACAGAUUUCCCAAGAUGC
rnacentral:lncRNA from 1 species